GUGGCAGACGGGUGAGUAAUACAUAGGAAUCUGCCUUGUAGAGGAGGAUAACUGUUGGAGACAACAGCUAAUACUCCAUAUUGCCGAGAGGUGAAAGAUUUAUCGCUACAAGAUGAGCCUAUGCAGGAUUAGCUAGUUGGUGGGGUAAAAGCCUACCAAGGCUAUGAUCUUUAGUUGGUCUGAGAGGAUGAUCAGCCACACUGGAACUGAGACACGGUCCAGACUCC
rnacentral:rRNA from 1 species